rnacentral:rRNA from 1 species
CAGUAGCCGCGGGAAUACGUAGGUGGCAAGCGUUGUCCGGAAUUAUUGGGCGUAAAGGGCUCGCAGGCGGUUUCUUAAGUCUGAUGUGAAAGCCCCCGGCUCAACCGGGGGGGGUCAUUGGAAACUGGGAAACUUGAGUGCAGAAGAGGAGAGUGGAAUUCCACGUGUAGCGGUGAAAUGCGUAGAGAUGUGGAGGAACACCAGUGGCGAAGGCGACUCUCUGGUCUGUAACUGACGCUGAGGAGCGAAAGCGUGGGGAGCGAACAGGAUUAGAGACCCCCGUAGUCCCUGUCUCUUAUAC